rnacentral:rRNA from 1 species
UACGUAGGGUGCAAGCGUUGUCCGGAAUUAUUGGGCGUAAAGAGCCCGUAGGCGGUUUGUCGCGUCUGCUGUGAAAUUUCGGGGCUCAACCCCGAACUUGCAGUGGGUACGGGCAGACUAGAGUGUGGUAGGGGAGACUGGAAUUCCUGGUGUAGCGGUGAAAUGCGUAGAUAUCUGGAGGAACACCGGUGGCGAAGGCGGCAUCCUGGACCAAUAUUGACGCUGAGGAGCGAAAGCCAGGGGGAGCAAACGGG